CCAGCAGCCGCGGUAAUUCCAGCUCCAAUAGCGUAUAUUAAAGUUGUUGCAGUUAAAAAGCUCGUAGUUGGAUUUCUGGCUGCGCGGUGCGGUCCGCCAUAGGUGAGUACCGUACUGCGCGGCCUUCCUUCUCGAGGACCAUGCGUGUCCUUAACUGGGUGUGCAUGGGACUCGGGACCUUUACUUUGAAAAAAUUAGAGUGUUCAAAGCAGGCUAACGCUUGAAUACAUUAGCAUGGAAUAAUAGAAUAGGACUUUGGUUCUAUUUUGUUGGUUUCUAGGACCGAAGUAAUGAUUAAUAGGGACAGUUGGGGGCAUUAGUAUUUAAUUGUCAGAGGUGAAAUU
rnacentral:rRNA from 1 species